GAAACUUUAUCAGGUUUCACUCAUUCUCUCUCUAAAUUUUCCACUAAGAAACUCCACUAACAUGAAGAUCAAAUCGGCGGGAUUUAUCAUCAAAUUUUUGUAAGCUCCUCAAUUUCAUCAUCAAAUUAUUUUGUUAUUCGAAUUUUUUCAUUGUAUAAGUAUGACGUUCAAUUUUGCCUUUUUCGAUUUUUUGUAUGUUUUUUUAGCCUAAUAUUAAAUUAUUGACAUACUUUUUUUUGUUAAAUUAUGGUUUUAAUUGGUCUAUAUGGAUGACAAUCUAAUAAAUGAUUGUGUUUGUUCGUUUACGAUUUUGUAUUCUUUUGAAUUUUGUUUAAUCAUGCUUUUGUUUAUAACCUGAAUUUUGUGUUUGUGAUUGAAUUUUCGAGCGAUAUUUUUCUGAAUAUUCACUAUUAUAUUGAGUUAUUUAGUCUAAUGUUGUUUAUUAUUGAUAUAAUGUUGCUAAAAUUUGAUACAAAAUUACAUUAUUCAUGAAUUGGGUUUUUUCGAUUUUUUGCUUUAACCCUUGAAAUCGCGAAUUGCAAAUGGAUUCAACUAAAGCUCCGAUCCAAACGAUGAACUAAAAUUUCCAGUUGUUACUUAAGAACGAUGAAUUUACUGAGGAAGAAGUGGGUCUUUUAUAUGACUUAUUCAAUAAACUCAACAACUCUGUUGUCAAAGAUGGUUUUAUUAAAAAGGAGGAACUUCAACUUGCAUUAUUUAAGAAUAGUAUGAAGAGAAGCCUUUUUUCUGGACAGAGUAUGUGUUUCCUUUUAGUUGUUAGAUGCUGAUGUCCCAUAUUUCAUGAAAGAAUUUCCAAUCUAAGUAUGUGUUCACUUGUUCUUUUUCCUUUGGUUUGCAUAAUACUAAAGUAUUCUUUACCUUACAUGACAAGUUGAGCAGUAUUUAUUAAGUAUGAAGUAUUACUUUAGGAUUCAGAAAACGGGACAACCUUGUAGCAAUUUGAACUGUGGGAAUAUCAGUGUUUGAUCUGAUUCAUUCCUUGAUUGCUAGGUGUCACGUUUCUUUUCGGCAUUCAGAUUGAUAUGGUGGAUUUUAUUACUAUCUAGGGCCUUGUAUACGCUGACAAAUUACUGAUUCACUACUGUUUUUGUUAUAUGCACUUCCUGGUUUGUUAAUUUCGUUUUUUAUUUUUAAUUGUAUUUUUUUGGGCAACUAACUAUUUGCUCAUUUGCUAAA